CCUGUGAUCAUGUACUAAUCAGUCACCUCUCUCCUUGCAGAUAAUGACAAUUCAGCAGGGUAAAUCGCUCCAUUCGGAGUUCUCUUUCUUUCUUUGCCCUUCCUUUUUUAUCUCCCUUCUCCUCUCUCUCUGUAGUAAUUCCAUUCUCCCACCUUCUUUAACUACCUACCGAAGGAGUCAGGAAGGAGCUGGGUCGUGAGUGGGAACCAUGUGGCAGAAGCUGGAUGAACGGGCUGUGUCCUGCAGCGAUGGCGGAUUGAGUGUGGAUCAGAACAACGGUGGCGGGAUCAGGAGUGGGCCAGUGAGGCAGUGACGGACCAUCUGCACAUAUGCUACAAUCCUCUGAAGAAUUCUGCUCAGCUCCUGCUACUCUCAGAGUGCUACUUCAAUGCUGCAGCUUCCGUGGUGCAAGACUAUUGACUCAUCCGCAAUUCUCUCGGGUUUUAUUCCAAACUAUGGGAUGUCAGUGUUAGACUUGCAACGGUGCUCUAUGUUAGGUGAGGACAUGAAAGUUGGG